UACGGGGGAGCAAGCGUUGUUCGGAUUUACUGGGCGUAAAGGGCGCGUAGGCGGCCACUGCAAGUCAGUUGUGAAAUCUCCGGGCUUAACCCGGAAAGGUCAACUGAUACUGCAGGGCUAGAGUGCAGAAGGGGCAACUGGAAUUCUCGGUGUAGCGGUGAAAUGCGUAGAUAUCGAGAGGAACACCUGCGGCGAAGGCGGGUUGCUGGGCUGACACUGACGCUGAGGCGCGAAAGCGUGGGGAGCGAACAGG
rnacentral:rRNA from 1 species